rnacentral:rRNA from 1 species
GGAGUUAGCCGGUGCUUCUUCUGUGAGUGAUGUCCUUCCUGCCGGCUAUUAACCCGCAGGCCUUCUUCCUCACUGAAAGUGCUUUACAACCCGAAGGCCUUCUUCACACACGCGGCAUGGCUGGAUCAGGGUUGCCCCCAUUGUCCAAUAUUCCCCACUGCUGCCUCCCGUAGGAGUCUGGGCCGUGUCUCAGUCCCAGUGUGGCUGAUCAUCCUCUCAGACCAGCUACGGAUCGUCGCCUUGGUGAGCCGUUACCUCACCAACCAGCUAAUCCGACAUAGGCUCAUCCGAUAGCGCGAGGCCCGAAGGUCCCCCGCUUUCCCCCGUAGGGCGUAUGCGGUAUUAGCCUGGGUUUCCCCAGGUUAUCCCCCACUACCGGGCAGAUUCCUAUGCAUUACUCACCCGUCCGCCGCUCGCCACCAGGGAGCAAGCUCCCCGUGCUGCCGCUCGACUUGCAUGUGUAGCUGCCGCCAGCGUCAUCUGAACCAAGAUACAACUUACUGA